UGUUCCCUAGCACACAUUGCAUACCUUACUGUCCUGGAAGGAGGAGUCCUGUCUACAGAGACGUUCACAAGAUUUCAGUUUUUCUUGAAGGGACUUUAGCAGAAAUUCUCCCUUGUUUUCACUGAGAGUCCAUAGUUGUAGUUCAACAUCUUAAGUGAUCGUUUCAUGGUACUAGAUGUUGUAAACAAAUUUCUUUCUUUCAAGAUGUGGAUGUGGAUCUUGAUUGGUCUUUGCUUCAUCUCAAAGGUGCAAGGGUUUGCAAACCGUCCCUUCCCACAGUCGUGUCAUUCAAUGUUACCUGAGCACAGGGACAGAACAAAUAAUCUUGUUAAUCCCCAGAGCUCUGAACUACCCUUUGAGGUCCAUUACGAACUUGGGAAUGAUGGAGAGCCUAUUACAGUUUUUCUUAGAAGCAACAACACCACUAAAUUCCGGGGAUUUUUGUUGGAGGCUCGAAAGACAGGCAAUCUUGAGCGUUCUGUUGGAAAAUUUAUCAUACUUGAUUCUUCUACGACUCAAUUCCAGUCAUGCAAUGGAU